rnacentral:rRNA from 1 species
GGGCGUUAAGUUGCAGGGUAUAGACCCGAAACCCGGUGAUCUAGCCAUGGGCAGGUUGAAGGUUGGGUAACACUAACUGGAGGACCGAACCGACUAAUGUUGAAAAAUUAGCGGAUGACCUGUGGCUGGGGGUGAAAGGCCAAUCAAACCGGGAGAUAGCUGGUUCUCCCCGAAAGCUAUUUAGGUAGCGCCUCGUGAAUUCAUCUCCGGGGGUAGAGCACUGUUUCGGCUAGGGGGCCAUCCCGGCUUACCAACCCGAUGCAAACUGCGAAUACCGGAGAAUGUUAUCACGGGAGACACACGGCGGGUGCUAACGUCCGUCGUGAAGAGGGAAACAACCCAGACCGCCAGCUAAGGUCCCAAAGUCAUGGUUAAGUGGGAAACGAUGUGGGAAGGCCCAGACAGCCAGGAUGUUGGCUUAGAAGCAGCCAUCAUUUAAAGAAAGCGUAAUAGCUCACUGGUCGAGUCGGCCUGCGCGGAAGAUGUAACGGGGCUAAACCAUGCACCGAAGCUGCGGCAGCGACGUUUAUGCGUUGUUGGGUAGGGGAGCGUUCUGUAAGCCUGCGAAGGUGGCCUGUGAGGGUUGCUGGAGGUAUCAGAAGUGCGAAUGCUGACAUAAGUAACGAUAAAGCGGGUGAAAAGCCCGCU